rnacentral:rRNA from 1 species
GAUGAACGCUGGCGGCGUGCCUAAUACAUGCCAGUCGAGCGAACGGACGAGAAGCUUGCUUUUCUGAUGUUAGCGGCGGACGGGUGAGUAACACGUGGAUAACCUACCUAUAAGACUGGGAUAACUUCGGGAAACCGGAGCUAAUACCGGAUAAUAUUUUGAACCGCAUGGUUCAAAAGUGAAAGACGGUCUUGCUGUCACUUAUAGAUGGAUCCGCGCUGCAUUAGCUAGUUGGUAAGGUAACGGCUUACCAAGGCAACGAUGCAUAGCCGACCUGAGAGGGUGAUCGGCCACACUGGAACUGAGACACGGUCCAGACUCCUACGGGAGGCAGCAGUAGGGAAUCUUCCGCAAUGGGCGAAAGCCUGACGGAGCAACGCCGCGUGAGUGAUGAAGGUCUUCGGAUCGUAAAACUCUGUUAUUAGGGAAGAACAUAUGUGUAAGUAACUGUGCACAUCUUGACGGUACCUAAUCAGAAAGCAACGGCUAACUACGUG